UACGGAAGGUCCGGGCGUUAUCCGGAUUUAUUGGGUUUAAAGGGAGCGCAGGCCGGUGGUCAAGCGUGACGUGAAAUGCCGCGGCUCAACCGUGGAAGUGCGUCGCGAACUGGCCGUCUUGAGUGGGGCCGACGCAUGCGGAAUUCGUGGUGUAGCGGUGAAAUGCUUAGAUAUCACGAAGAACCCCGAUUGCGAAGGCAGCGUGCGAGACCCCAACUGACGCUAAAGCUCGAAGGUGCGGGUAUCGAAC
rnacentral:rRNA from 1 species